CCUACGGGAGGCUGCAGUGAGGAAUAUUGGUCAAUGGACGAGAGUCUGAACCAGCCAAGUAGCGUGAAGGAUGACUGCCCUAUGGGUUGUAAACUUCUUUUAUAUGGGAAUAAAGUGUUCCACGUGUGGGAUUUUGUAUGUACCAUAUGAAUAAGGAUCGGCUAACUCCGUGCCAGCAGCCGCGGUAAUACGGAGGAUCCGAGCGUUAUCCGGAUUUAUUGGGUUUAAAGGGAGCGUAGGUGGAUUGUUAAGUCAGUUGUGAAAGUUUGCGGAUCAACCGGAAAAUUGCAGUUGAAACUGGCAGUCUUGAGUACAGUAGAGGUGGGCGGAAUUCGUGGUGUAGCGGUGAAAUGCUUAGAUAUCACGAAGAACUCCGAUUGCGAAGGCAGUUCACUGGACUGCAACUGACACUGAGGCUCGAAAGUGUGGGUAUCAAACAGGAUUAGAUACCCUUGUAGUC
rnacentral:rRNA from 1 species